UACGAAGGGUGCAAGCGUUGUUCGGAUUUAUUGGGCGUAAAGCGCGCGCAGGCGGAUUGAUAAGUCGGGUGUGAAAUCUCGGGGCUUAACCCCGAAAUUGCGCCUGAAACUGUCGAUCUAGAAUACUGGAGAGGGAAGGGGAAUUUCUCAUGUAGGGGUAAAAUCCGUAGAUAUGAGAAGGAACACCGGAGGCGAAAGCGCCUUCCUGGACAGUGAUUGACGCUGAGGUGCGAAAGCGUGGGGAGCAAACAGG
rnacentral:rRNA from 1 species